GUUCCCUUUUCCAACUGCCUCUGACCUCACGCCCGCUCAUUUGCAUACGGGAGCGCGCGCGCGCAGGCGGCCCCGCCCACUUCGGAGCGCGCGCGCCUGAGAGAGAGAGAGACAGAGAAAGCCGGCAACCGCUCUGCUCCCCUCCCUCCCUUUUUCCAUCCCUCCCUCUUCGACCAACCGUCCGCUUUCCUCUCAGAGCCGUUGCCCGAAGGCUGCCGGGCUCUCCUUCUCCUGCCAUUGACGCGACAGGGAGAACCAAGAAGAGGAGGAGGGUCGCUUUGUGUGGGCAAGGAGAAGAAUGGGGCUCCUGAGAGGAGCAGGGAAAGGCCUCCCCGUCCCGGAAGGCCGUGCGCCACCCUGAUGACACUGCCAGGAAGUUACUUAGAGCUAGAAGCCCGUGUGUCUUAGAGCUGCCCAAGAAUGCUUGUUUAUUUGAGGUGCUUUUUAUUAUUAUUACUAACUUGGGGACUCGGCGGUGCCCGGGUUGUUAGAAGAAAGCAUGGUUUGUUUUUGGGAUGUUAGGUAAUCUCACUUAAGUGUGGCCCAGAUCCGUCGUUGGCUGGGUUCAGUGCUGUCUGGAUAAGGGUGAACUACAACUCCCAGAUGCCCAGGGCAAUCAUCCCCAAACCCUUCAAGUAUUUGCAGUUGGCCAUGUUGGGUUUGUGUGCCAAGUUUGGUCCAGAUCAGUCCUCGGCUGGGUUCAGGGCUUUCAGGAUAAAGAUGAACUACAACUCCCAGAUCCAAGGUCAAUUCCCCCCCCCCCCACACACACACACACCAGGCCUGUAUGUACAGUUGGUCAUGUUGGGUCUGUGUGCCAAAUUUGGUCCAGAUCUGACGUUAUCUGGGUUCAGUGCAUUCUGGAUGCAGGUGAACUAUAAUUCCCAAAAUUAAGGUCAAUUCCCACUAACCCCUGCAGUAUGCUCAGUUGGUUAUGAGGCUUCUCUGUGCCAAAUUUGGUCCCAGUUCAUUGUCGGUGUGGGUCACAGUUUCUCUGGAUGUAGGUGAACUAUAACUCCCAAAAUCACUUUCCCACUAACCCCUACAGUAUGUUCAUGGGGCUAUUCAGUGCCAAGUUUGGUUCCAGUUCAUUGUCGGUGGGGGUCAUAGUAUCAGUGAAGGUACAGCAAGUCCUGGCAUCCAUGCAAGUUUGGUCCAGGUCCAUCGUUGGUUGGGUUCACAGUGCUCUCUGGAUGUAGGUACAAAUUCUGUAAACCAUGGUGAAUUCUCCCCAAACCUCUUGUUCAGUUGCUGAUCAAUUCCUCUAUUAACUGUGUGCCAUAGGAAAGGGUUAAGGUAGAGGCAGUGGGUGGGGUCAUGCAAAUUGAGGAACCCUGGGAUGUCAAUUCUGAAGGAAAAACAGAACAUCUAGGAUGAAAUUGUCCCCGCAUGGAAGCCUUCACUUGGGUGGGGGGCAGAAUGGUGUUUGUGGAGGACACUGGCAGAAUUUGGGCUACAUGUUCAUGGUGCUCACUACAGCCUGCAUUUCAGUGGAGGGAGGGCCAUGAGUGUCUCCUGCUCAGUGGGAACUAAAGUCUGUUUGUGGAGGCGAGAGGCUGUCUGUGUGAGCAGACACCUCUGACACAUACACAUUUUCACUUUUAUUAUGUGUAUCAAUUUAUUUAUAUUUAUGUAUUAUAUUUAUAUACCACUUUUCUCAUCCCGGGGGGGGGGGGGCAAAGUGGUUUACAACAUAAUAAGGGCAAAAUUCAAUGCCUUACAUACAUGUAAACCAAAUCAAACAUCUAAACAUUAAACACAUAGCUAUGCGUUAAAAUCAGUAAAACCAUUAAACAUAAGAUAUAAACAACAUUUAAACAUAAAAACAGAAUUAAAACACUUAAUUUAGACAAUUAAAACACAUUAUUUAUUUAUUUUAUUUAUAUUUUGCCCUUCUCACCCUGAAGGGGACUCAGGGCGGAUCACAAUGUACACAUACAUGACAAACAUUCAAUGCCAUUAGACAUACAUUCACAGAGACGAAGACACAGAGGCAAUUUAACAUUUUUGCAGCUUCCAGGCUUCAUGAGGGUAUGCUGGAUUCCGGCCACAGGGGGAGCUGCUGCUUCAUCAUCCACUGUGACACCGAGUCCUUGAUGGAUUGCUUCCUCAUUCCUUUCUGCAUGCUGCUGGAUGAUUUUUAUGGUGUUGUAAAUUAGUUAAAUUAGCCUCCCCGCAUAAGUGGUACCUACAUUUUCCCAUUUGAUAGAUGCAACUAACUUUCGAGUUGCUUCAGUCAACAACGAACUCGGCUAUUUUUAAUGGUCGGGAGCUCACUCCGACGCGAGCUGGCUUUGAACUCAUGACUCUCAGUCAGUAGUGAUUUAUUGCAGCUAGCUAUUAACCAGCUGCACCACAGCCUGGCCCAACUGAUGUAAAAUUGUAGACCGGGCCAUUCUAAUUGGCAAUUGCACAUAUUCAGUAUUUGUUUCUUGAAUUGUAUUACUUUGCUGGCCAAACGCUUGGUCCUACAACCAUGUCUUUGUUUUCUUUCUGAAGGCCAGGAGGGAGGGUGUUGAUCUAAUCUCACUGGGGAGAGAAUUCCAGAGCCGCAGAGCUACCACUGAGAAGGCCCUGUCUCUUGUCCCCACCAACUACACUUGCAAAGCAGGUGGAGCGCCCCUUCUCCGGAAUUUCUUCAAAAUGGUCCACAAACCGGGGAGGGGGGCUGAGAGAGUGACACCUUGGGCCCUUCCACACAGCCAUAUAACCCAGAAUAUCAAGGCAGAUCAUCCAUAAUUUAUGCUUUGAACUGAGCUAUCUGAGGCCCCUUCUACACAGGCAUAUAACCCAGAAUAUCAAGGUGGAUCAUCCACAAUAUCUGCUUUGAACUGAGGGCCCAUCCAUGCAGUCAUAUAACCCAGAAUAUUAAAGUAGAAAAUCCCACAAUAUCUACUUUGAAUUGGGUUACCAACAGCGCUGUGUAGUUCAAAGAGGCACUAAUGGAGGGUGAAAGGGAGAAAUGCAUCAAGAGAAUGGCACAUCAAGCCAACCCUGACCUGGACUGCCUUCAAUCUGGAAAUCAAUGUCCUCAAUGUGGAAGAACAUGCGGGUCAAUAAUAGGUUUUCACAGUCACCUGUGGAUCCACCGGCAAGACUCUACACUUGGAAGGCUAUCCUACACGAAUGAUCCUCGAUGAUGAUGAGUCUCAAAUGUGGCAACCUUCAUGAUGCCCUUGUAGUUCCAAUUUCAAACAUUAUUAAUCUAAAUUUCCCACUGGAGGCUGUGUAUCUCAAUAUAACGUGUCCUUAUGUCAUAUUUUGGGAGGUUCAAAUAUAUAUGAAUUUUUUUAUUCAACAGAAAUUGAACAACGUAUCACAGAUUACCUACUAAAUGCAGCUAAAUCCUGAUCGUUAUUAACUCUACCUCAUAACUUUCACUCAUAUUCCAAACUUUAUCAUUCAUAUCUCGCUUCCUUUCUCACUCAUAUCCUAUCUAACUCUGAUUGUGGCUCUAUCUAAUCUCUGUCUCUUAUUCUGACUGAUGACUUUAUCAGACCAGCCUAAUGUUUUAUCAAAAUUGGGUUAUUUAAGUAAAUGGAAACAAGCCAUUAUUGGAAUGAUCUCUUUCACACCUCAGCGUAAUUGUAUGAUGCUGGCACAUUAUUGAUGCAAAUCUCCAUGAUCACUCUUCUACACAGCCUUACUUUCUACCUGUUUAUUCUAUCCAACACCUGUGCGCUGUUCCCCCUCUUUUGCUGCAACUGUGCAGAUGUGCAGUUUUGGCAUUCUCGCAAAACCUUCAUCUGCUUCAUAAUCCUAGGGCCCCUUCUUCACUGCCAUAUAUCCCAGGAUCUGAUCCUAGAUUAUCUUUUUGUCCCAGAUUAUCUGGCAGGGGAGACUCAUAUAAUCCAGUUCAAAUCAGGUACUCUGGGAUCAGAUCUUGGGAUAUAGGGCAGUGUAUAAGGGACCUGUGUCUUAUAUUUAAAAUAUAUAUAUACACGGAAGGUUUUGAGGAGACGGCGCUAUGUUGUACUGGUCCCCAUACAUUUCGUUAUUUCAAUUAAAAUCUAUCCAUACCUCUUAUAAGGGGUUGGUUUUAACUUCAGGUUUGGGAGUUAACCUGAAUUGCUGUGUUGCGAAAUGAUGCGUGUCUAAAAAGUAUCACCAGCAUAAAAUGUUUAGAAAGCUCUGUUUUAAUGCUUUGAUUUUGUAUCACGCACAAAUUUAUUAGAUAUUGUGCUUAAAAUUACCUCCUUUGAGUUUCCUUCAUUACAAGCAUUUAUAUCCUGCUCUUUCUCUCUCAGAAGAGACUCAGGCUGAAUCUACACUGCCCUAUAUCCCAGGAUCUGAUACCAGAUUAUCUGCUUAUCCCAGAUUAUCUGACAAUGUAGACUCAUAUAAUCCAGUUCAAAGCAAAUAAUCUGGGAUCAAAUCCUGGGAUAUAAGGCAGUGUAGAUCCGAUCACAAAGCAGCUAAGAACUAAAAAUUGUGCAAUGUGUAAAUUAAAACAUUAAGCAUUUAAACAUUAUAAUGGAUUUUAAUGUUAAACUGUUAAAAAUACAGAAUUAAAAUUAAACUAUGAAUUAAACUAUGCAAAAAAUGUUACUCCUGGCUCGAUCUUUAAAACUUUCUUAUUUAAAAGCCUAUCUAAAAAUAAAGGUUUUAGCCUUCCUCCAGGAGGACUAUGUGUAUAAACUAUGUAUAAAAUAUCAAUGGAUUUCAUGUUUAGACUUGGGUUCCAUCUCUUAAGAUAUCAUAUUAUGUACGUAAAUGCAAAUGCAGGUGUUCCAAAAUCCAAAACAUUCCUGAUCCCAAACAUUUCGGAUCAAGGGUAUGCAGCCUGUCAUAGUACUAACCUACAACAGCCCCAAGCUCUUGAGAAAGAGAAAGUAACAGUGAUGGAACAGACUGGUACCUCAAAUUGGGGCUUUUAUUCUGUGGAAAAGGAUGUUGGGAACAAACUUUCCCAAGUUGGCUUGGGGACAACAACAGGACAAGAAAGGGAAGUGGGCAAAAACAGUCAAGUUUGCCACUCAAGGAAGCAAACAUAUUUGAACUUGUUUUUCAGUUAUAUAGUACUUACGUUUGUUAGAUUGUUACUUGACAAAAAGAAAGAUUUCUUCUAAGCACAUUAGAGUUGAGACUAUUGGCAUGUUCAUUCUAGUGUUUUCCAAGCAGCCUACCAUACACCCCAGUUUAAGAGUUAUCGGGACCCCCCCCCCCCCAAAUAUCCACUAAAAAAUCUGCUAGGACAUAGUAGACCACCUUCCCAGAAAGACAACUGGCCACCCACUGCUCUUUCCUGAAGUGUGCAAAGGGGAAUGUUGAGUGCUUUUCAAAACCAUUAUCUACAGAACUGCAGGUGUAGGUAGAGUCAGUCUUAGCCAGUUAGCACAAAUAUUACCCAUGUUCCAUUCAGAAAAAAGAGAUAGUCCUCCAUAUCAGAUCACCCUAGAAGCAAUAUUCUGAGGCACUGAUUCUCAGCCUUAGCUCUCUAAAUGUGUUUUUCAUUUCCCCUAUGCUCCAGUUACCAAGGGCAAUGACCUAGUAUUCUGGGAAUUGAAAUCCAAAAUAUUUGGGGGUCCCAAGAUUGAAGAACCUCUUAUCAGCAGAACACCAAAUUCACACUGGGUGAAGGACAUAAAUGCCAGGCUAGUGCUCCUUGAGAAACAUGUUUAUGCUUAGCAUACACUAGAAUCUUAUAAUAACAUGUUGUUUUGGCAGUCACUUUGAUGAAAAAUGUCAUUUGAUACCAUGCACCAAGCUCCAUUCUCAACUAACAAAUACGUUACCUUUCUUAAUAGACAUGCUAUUAACAGCAGCUAGAUUAUUAAUAGUAAAAUAUUGGAAAAGGGAAAUGACAAUACAAAUUGAUGAAUGAUAUAAAGAAGUCUGGAGGAUGGCGUUGAAUGAUAAACUAACAUCAAAUUUAAAAAUAAAGAAAGACUAUAGAAAAAUGAUUUUGAAAGUAUCUGGAGAAGAUUUUUAGAAAAAGUAUUGGAAAAAGAAGAUGGGAAUUUACCUCCACUGUGUGAUGACCCAUGGGCAAUGUAGUCCCAUUCCUGGCACUGUGGUGCCAGAUGAAGAGGAAAACUUGGGUUUUUCGCCGUUUCAGUCAGAAUUGGAACUUUCCCAGCCAGAUUUGGAAACCUUGCACCUGCAAGAGAUUUGUCUUCCAGAAGUCUGUCAAACAAGCCCUGAGCCUAAAUCUCCUACGUUUUCUCGCCAUGAUUUUUGUAAACAACAGAGAGGAGUCGAUCAGGCGUCUCGCAGGAGUGCUAGGAUAGCUGCUAAGCAUUCAGCUGAUUAAGCCUGCUUCCCAUGAGAAACUUUAGGGAGUCAUGCAUCUGGACUCAGAAAAUAGCUUUCGUUUCUGGUUCUCCAGAGAACUGCUCUUGGGCGGGAAAACGGGACCCUAUUUAGGUGUUUUACCCACAAAGGGAUCUUGCGGAGUCAAUUCGUCAGCAACCGGAGUAGCGUGUGUGGACAGCUACUCCGCUUCCAAGCCUCCGUUCCUGUCGCCAAGCCUUCGUUCCCAGCUUUGUUUACUCCACGAAUCCUGCCUUGCUUUCUAAGACUCAGCCUCGUCUUGUUUCCCGGAUUUUGCCAAGAAAUUACCACGGAUCUUGUUCUUGUUCCUUGUUUCCUUGUUGCCUUGAAUCAAGCCUCGUUUUCCCAAGAAUCAAGUUACUUCCUAGCCUCGCUCAAGUUUCACGGACUAAAAGACCUUGUCAUCUCCCCUCACUUUGCCUGGCAAAGUGAGUGUUUCGGUUAUUGGAUUACAACUUUGGACCUUAAUAUUUCAUAUUGGACAUUGUUUCUUUGGACUAAUUUUGACCUUUUCUGAAAGGUCUAUUUCUGGACUAUUUCAUACACUUGCUUUUAUUAACUUUAUAUAUUCCUUCAAUAAAGAUAUUAGUUAGA